rnacentral:rRNA from 1 species
CGAGGCCGAUAGGCGUAGGCGAUGGACAACAGGUAGAGAUUCCUGUACCAGUGCUAAUUGUUUAACCGAUGGGGUGACACAGAAGGAUAGGGAAUCGCACGAAUGGAAAUGUGCGUCCAAGCAGUGAGUGUGAGAAGUAGGCAAAUCCGCUUCUCGCGAAGCAUGAGCUGUGAUGGGGAAGGAAAUUAAGUACGGAAGUUCCUGAUUUCACGCUGUCAAGAAAAGCCUCUAGGAAGAGUAGUACUGCCCGUACCGCAAACCGACACAGGUAGAUGAGGAGAGAAUCCUAAGGUGAGCGAGAGAACUCUCGUUAAGGAACUCGGCAAAAUGACCCCGUAACUUCGGGAGAAGGGGUGCUCUAUUAGGGUGCAAGCCCGAGAGAGCCGCAGUGAAUAGGCCCAGGCGACUGUUUAGCAAAAACACAGGUCUCUGCAAAACCGUAAGGUGACGUAUAGGGGCUGACGCCUGCCCGGUGCUGGAAGGUUAAGAGGAGUGCUUAGCUUCGGCGAAGGUACGAAUUGAAGCCCCAGUAAACGGCGGCCGUAACUAUAACGGUCCUAAGGUAGCGAAAUUCCUUGUCGGGUAAGUUCCGACCCGCACGAAAGGCGCAACGAUCUGGGCACUGUCUCAACGAGAGACUCGGUGAAAUUAUAGUACC